UACGUAGGGUGCAAGCGUUAAUCGGAAUUACUGGGCGUAAAGCGUGCGCAGGCGGUGAUGUAAGACAGUUGUGAAAUCCCCGGGCUUAACCUGGGAAUUGCGCUUGAAACUAGCGGGCUUGAGUGUGGCAGAGGGGGGUGGAAUUCCACGUGUAGCAGUGAAAUGCGUAGAGAUGUGGAGGAACACCGAUGGCGAAGGCAGCCCCCUGGGUCAACACUGACGCUCAUGCACGAAAGCGUGGGGAGCAAACAGG
rnacentral:rRNA from 1 species